GUUGGUGAACCAGCGGAGGGAUCAUUACUGAGUUUACGCUCUACAACCCUUUGUGAACAUACCUACAACUGUUGCUUCGGCGGGUAGGGUCCCCGUGACCCUCCCGGCCUCCCGCCCCCCCGGGCGGGCCGGCGCCCGCCGGAGGAUAACCAAACUCUGAUUUAACGACGUUUCUUCUGAGUGGUACAAGCAAAUAAUCAAAACUUUUAACAACGGAUCUCUUGGUUCUGGCAUCGAUGAAGAACGCAGCGAAAUGCGAUAAGUAAUGUGAAUUGCAGAAUUCAGUGAAUCAUCGAAUCUUUGAACGCACAUUGCGCCCGCCAGCAUUCUGGCGGGCAUGCCUGUUCGAGCGUCAUUUCAACCCUCAAGCUCUGCUUGGUGUUGGGGCCCUACAGCUGAUGUAGGCCCUCAAAGGUAGUGGCGGACCCUCCCGGAGCCUCCUUUGCGUAGUAACUUUACGUCUCGCACUGGGAUCCGGAGGGACUCUUGCCGUAAAACCCCCCAAUUUUCCAAAGGUUGACCUCGGAUCAGGUAG
rnacentral:rRNA from 1 species